CGCUGGCGGCAGGCCUAACACAUGCAAGUCGAACGGUAACAGGAAGAAGCUUGCUUCUUUGCUGACGAGUGGCGGACGGGUGAGUAAUGUCUGGGAAACUGCCUGAUGGAGGGGGAUAACUACUGGAAACGGUAGCUAAUACCGCAUAACGUCGCAAGACCAAAAAGGGGGACCUUCGGGCCUCUUGCCAUCGGAUGUGCCCAGAUGGGAUUAGCUAGUAGGUGGGGUAACGGCUUACCUAGGCGACGAUCCCUAGCUGGUCUGAGAGGAUGACCAGCCACACUGGAACUGAGACACGGUCCAGACUCCUACGGGAGGCAGCAGUGGGGAAUAUUGCACAAUGGGCGCAAGCCUGAUGCAGCCAUGCCGCGUGUAUGAAGAAGGCCUUCGGGUUGUAAAGUACUUUCAGCGGGGAGGAAGGGAGUAAAGUUAAUACCUUUGCUCAUUGACGUUACCCGCAGAAGAAGCACCGGCUAACUCCGUGCCAGCAGCCGCGGUAAUACGGAGGGUGCAAGCGUUAAUCGGAAUUACUGGGCGUAAAGCGCACGCAGGCGGUUUGUUAAGUCAGAUGUGAAAUCCCCGGGCUCAACCUGGGAACUGCAUCUGAUACUGGCAAGCUUGAGUCUCGUAGAGGGGGGUAGAAUUCCAGGUGUAGCGGUGAAAUGCGUAGAGAUCUGGAGGAAUACCGGUGGCGAAGGCGGCCCCCUGGACGAAGACUGACGCUCAGG
rnacentral:rRNA from 1 species